rnacentral:rRNA from 1 species
CAGCAGCCGCGGGAAUACGGAGGGUGCAAGCGUUAUCCGGAUUCACUGGGUUUAAAGGGUGCGUAGGCGGGCAGGUAAGUCAGUGGUGAAAUCUUCGAGCUUAACUCGGAAACUGCCGUUGAUACUAUCUGUCUUGAAUAACGUUGAGGUGAGCGGAAUAUGUCAUGUAGCGGUGAAAUGCUUAGAUAUGACAUAGAACACCGAUUGCGAAGGCAGCUCACUAAACGCUCAUUGACGCUGAGGCACGAAAGCGUGGGGAUCAAACAGGAUUAGAUACCCGCGUAGUCCCUGUCUCUUAUAC